UGGGGAAUUUUGGACAAUGGGGGAAACCCUGAUCCAGCCAUGCCGCGUGCGGGAUGAAGGCCUUCGGGUUGUAAACCGCUUUUGUCAGAGACGAAAAGGGACGUACGAAUAAUACGUUCCGCUGACGGUAUCUGAAGAAUAAGCACCGGCUAACUACGUGCCAGCAGCCGCGGUAAUACGUAGGGUGCAAGCGUUAAUCGGAAUUACUGGGCGUAAAGGGUGCGCAGGCGGCUGUGCAAGACAGAUGUGAAAUCCCCGGGCUUAACCUGGGAACUGCAUUUGUGACUGCACGGCUAGAGUUUGUCAGAGGAGGGUGGAAUUCCGCGUGUAGCAGUGAAAUGCGUAGAUAUGCGGAAGAACACCAAUGGCGAAGGCAGCCCUCUGGGACAUGACUGACGCUCAUGCACGAAAGCGUGGGGAGCAAACA
rnacentral:rRNA from 1 species